AUGAGUUCAUCAACUAACUCUGGAGCAGCAUACCCUCCCCCACCUUGUUCUACAGCGCCGAGUCAGGCUCCACCACCUGCUGGUUAUCCAACAAGAGAUGCCCCAAAUCCCCAUGGACAUGGAGCUGUAGAAACAAAGUCAAAAGGUGAUGGCUUCUGGAAGGGAUGCUGUGCUGCCUUGUGCUGCUGUUGCGUUUUGGAUGCAUGUUUUUGA
rnacentral:lncRNA from 1 species